GUCUACAGCCAUGACAACCUGAACAAGCCCGAUCCUGUCUGAUCUGAGAAGCUAAGCAGGGUUGGGCCUGGUUAGUACUUGGAUGGGAGACCACCUAGGAAGACCAGGUGCUAUAGGCG
rnacentral:rRNA from 1 species